rnacentral:vault_RNA from 11 species
GCAUCGGUUUAGCUCAGUGGUUACUUCCAAACAUGAGUUUCUUUCUUCACGGGCUCUUCUGGGGCCCAUCGAUCGACCACGGGCGCUGUCCGAUGCUUUU